AGAGUUUGAUCCUGGCUCAGAGUGAACGCUGGCGGCGUGCCUAAUACAUGCAAGUCGAACGAUGAAGCUUCUAGCUUGCUAGAAUGCUGAUUAGUGGCGCACGGGUGAGUAACGCAUAGGUCAUGUGCCUCUUAGUUUGGGAUAGCCAUUGGAAACGAUGAUUAAUACCAGAUACUCCCUACGGGGGAAAGAUUUAUCGCUAAGAGAUCAGCCUAUGUCCUAUCAGCUUGUUGGUAAGGUAAUGGCUUACCAAGGCUAUGACGGGUAUCCGGCCUGAGAGGGUGAACGGACACACUGGAACUGAGACACGGUCCAGACUCCUACGGGAGGCAGCAGUAAGGAAUAUUGCUCAAUGGGGGAAACCCUGAAGCAGCAACGCCGCGUGGAGGAUGAAGGUUUUAGGAUUGUAAACUCCUUUUGUUAGAGAAGAUAAUGACGGUAUCUAACGAAUAAGCACCGGCUAACUCCGUGCCAGCAGCCGCGGUAAUACGGAGGGUGCAAGCGUUACUCGGAAUCACUGGGCGUAAAGAGCGCGUAGGCGGGAUAGUCAGUCAGGUGUGAAAUCCUAUGGCUUAACCAUAGAACUGCAUUUGAAACUACUAUUCUAGAGUGUGGGAGAGGUAGGUGGAAUUCUUGGUGUAGGGGUAAAAUCCGUAGAGAUCAAGAGGAAUACUCAUUGCGAAGGCGACCUGCUGGAACAUUACUGACGCUGAUUGCGCGAAAGCUGGGGAGCAAACAGGAUUAGAUACCCUGGUAGUCCACGCCCUAAACGAUGGAUGCUAGUUGUUGGAGGGCUUAGUCUCUCCAGUAAUGCAGCUAACGCAUUAAGCAUCCCGCCUGGGGAGUACGGUCGCAAGAUUAAAACUCAAAGGAAUAGACGGGGACCCGCACAAGCGUGGAGCAUGUGGUUUAAUUCGAUUCUACACGAAGAACCUUACCUAGGCUUGACAUUGAGAGAAUCCGCUAGAAAUAGUGGAGUGUCUGGCUUGCCAGACCUUGAAAACAGGUGCUGCACGGCUGUCGUCAGCUCGUGUCGUGAGAUGUUGGGUUAAGUCCCGCAACGAGCGCAACCCCUUUUCUUAGUUGCUAACAGGUUAUGCUGAGAACUCUAAGGAUACUGCCUCCGUAAGGAGGAGGAAGGUGGGGACGACGUCAAGUCAUCAUGGCCCUUACGCCUAGGGCUACACACGUGCUACAAUGGGGUGCACAAAGAGAAGCAAUACUGCGAAGUGGAGCCAAUCUUCAAAACACCUCUCAGUUCGGAUUGUAGGCUGCAACUCGCCUGCAUGAAGCUGGAAUCGCUAGUAAUCGCAAAUCAGCCAUGUUGCGGUGAAUACGUUCCCGGGUCUUGUACUCACCGCCCGUCACACCAUGGGAGUUGUGUUUGCCUUAAGUCAGGAUGCUAAAUUGGCUACUGCCCACGGCACACACAGCGACUGGGGUGAAGUCGUAACAAGGUAACCGUAGUGAACCUGCGGCUGGAUCACCUC
rnacentral:rRNA from 1 species